ACCAUCUAUGACUUCUACAUGUACAAAUUUAGUUUUCUUAACUAAAGAUAUUUUUUUAUAAAAUAGGUUGAGGCUCUUGAAUCUAAUAAGGCAAAGGCUUUGUGAUUUUUAAGUCCUAAAUAUAUAUCUAUUAUAAAAUAAGGUGAGGGGCUUAAAGAGAGAAUAGGACCUUUAUUAGAUAUUAUACAUGAUUCUAACUGCACGAUUCCUAUUGUAGUUGGAGAAAUUUAUUUUUUGACAUAUUAUCUUCUUUAGUAAUUAUACUCUUUAUUUUGUAAUUGCAUUGCUUCUUUGUGUAAUAUUGAGCAGUGUAUUUAGCUUCUCUAUAAUAUAAACACAAACCCUCGUGGUGACAUCAAGUCUUUUUUUGCUCUAUGAGAGGUUUAAAACAUAUCGUAUCAAUUUGCGUUCGUUCCAACCUU
rnacentral:lncRNA from 1 species